GCCUAUGUUGCUUACUUGAUUUGGGGGGCUCGAAAUGAUAGAAUAUUUCAGCAGACUUCACCCAUACCUACACAGUCAAUGAGAAAGGCAUUCUAUUUUCUGCUCCCAAACUAUCAGUGGCAUUCUAUGAUGGCUUUAUUAAGGCACCGGGAUAGCACUUCAACUCACAACACCAACCUCAACAAUAUGUUAGCCUUAAGGCUAAAACCUUGAUACUACUAUA
rnacentral:lncRNA from 1 species